rnacentral:rRNA from 1 species
UACGAAGGGGGCUAGCGUUGCUCGGAAUCACUGGGCGUAAAGCGCACGUAGGCGGAUUGCUAAGUCAGGGGUGAAAUCCUGGAGCUCAACUCCAGAACUGCCUUGAUACUGGACGAUCUUGAGUCCGGGAGAGGUGAGUGGAACUGCGAGUGUAGAGGUGAAAUUCGUAGAUAUUCGCAAGAACACCAGUGGCGAAGGCGGCUCACUGGCCCGGUACUGACGCUGAGGUGCGAAAGCGUGGGGAGCAAACAGGG